GCUGGAUAUGGUGGCUCAUGACUGUAAUCCCAGCUACUCUGGAGGCUGAGGCAGGAAGAUGGCAAGUUCAAGGCUGGCCUAGAUUACUUAGCAAUACCCUGCCUCAA
rnacentral:sRNA from 1 species